rnacentral:rRNA from 1 species
UACGAAGGGGGCUAGCGUUGCUCGGAAUGACUGGGCGUAAAGGGCGCGUAGGCGGCGCAUUUAGUCAGGCGUGAAAUUCCUGGGCUCAACCUGGGGACUGCGCUUGAUACGGCUGUGCUUGAGGAUGGAAGAGGCUCGCGGAAUUCCCAGUGUAGAGGUGAAAUUCGUAGAUAUUGGGAAGAACACCGGUGGCGAAGGCGGCGAGCUGGUCCAUUACUGACGCUGAGGCGCGACAGCGUGGGGGAGCAAACAGG